UGUUUAGUUGGCUUGAGCGUCCCGAUGCUAUCGGGAAGGCCACCGGUUCGAAUCCGGUAUUCUCCA
rnacentral:tRNA from 3 species